rnacentral:rRNA from 1 species
AUGUUCUUUCUUCGCUGCUCCUACGGCCACCUCAUCUUCUGUGACGAUGAUGGGUUCUACAUUGUUAAUGCGUUCAGCGGCACUAAGGUUGUGCCUCCUUGCCUUAAGUCAGACAACUUCAUUCGCACCAGCUAUGUCACCUUGACUGCCCCUGUUGCAUCCGCUGACUCGCAUCUCCUUGUCGGCAGCGGAGGUUAUCUGUUUCAGUGGCGCAUCGGGAGCGACUCUUGGUUGGAACACUAUCCGAAAGUUCCUUUUCUUAGGAUUGAACAAAUCAUAGCCUUCAAGGGCAAAACAUACACCCUAGGGUCUUUCGGGUCCUUCUGCAUUGUACAAUUUUCGCCCAGUCUCUUGAUUCAGAAGUUUGAAGUUGUGUUCGAGGAAGAUAGAACUGAAGAUCGCUAUUGGACAAAUCAAAAAACAUGGCUUGUGGUGUGGGACGUGCUUCUCUUAAUCAAACUUGAGGCAGCAGGAAGGAUAAGCCCGGAGGCCUUCCACUUCAAGGCCUUCAAGCUCGAGUCGCUGGACGCCAGGAAGAAGAAGGCAAGGUGGGUGAAGGUGGACAGGUUGAAUAACUGGGCCAUCUUUGUCAGCGCCGACGGGCGAUGCGAGGCGUUGUCGUUCAUGAACCCGGAGAGAUGGGGAGGGAGGAGCAACCACAUAUACUUCCCAAGUUAUCAGUCUGAACAACCUUGGGCUGCAGCGCAACUAUGGCAGAGAGCUAACAACCAUUCGACAAGUUCGUGGCUCUUGAAAACUGGAAGCCAGUAA